rnacentral:rRNA from 1 species
CCUACGGGCGGCAGCAGUGGGGGAUAUUGCACAAUGGGGGAAACCCUGAUGCAGCGACGCCGCGUGUGGGAAGACGGUCCUCUGGAUUGUAAACCACUGUCCCCAGGGACGAAGAUGACGGUACCUGGGGAGGAAGCUCCGGCUAACUACGUGCCAGCAGCCGCGGUAAUACGUAGGGAGCGAGCGUUGUCCGGAAUUACUGGGUGUAAAGGGAGCGUAGGCGGGACUGCAAGUUGGGUGUCAAAUCUAGCGGCUCAACCGGUAGCCGCACUCAAAACUGCAGUUCUUGAGUGAAGUAGAGGCAGGCGGAAUUCCUAGUGUAGCGGUGAAAUGCGUAGAUAUUAGGAGGAACACCAGUGGCGAAGGCGGCCUGCUGGGCUUUUACUGACGCUGAGGCUCGAAAGUGUGGGGAGCAAACAGGAUUAGAUACCCGAGUAGUC